rnacentral:rRNA from 1 species
GACGAACGCUGGCGGCAUGCCUAAUACAUGCAAGUCGAGCGAAUGAUGAAGAAGCUUGCUUCUUCUGAUUUAGCGGCGGACGGGUGAGUAACACGUGGGUAACCUACCUUCCAGAUUGGGAUAACUUCGGGAAACCGGAGCUAAUACCGAAUAACACAUUUCUUCUCAGGAAGAGAUGUUGAAAGACGGUUUCGGCUGUCACUGUAAGAUGGGCCCGCGGCGCAUUAGCUAGUUGGUGAGGUAACGGCUCACCAAGGCAACGAUGCGUAGCCGACCUGAGAGGGUGAUCGGCCACACUGGGACUGAGACACGGCCCAGACACCUACGGGAGGCAG